GUGUUGCAUGAAAGGAGAGAAGGUUAGCACUCCCCUUGACAAGGAUGGAAGAGGCUCUCGGGCCUGCACAACAUGCAUUAUUAU
rnacentral:ncRNA from 1 species